GUAGGUGGCAAGCGUUGUCCGGAUUUAUUGGGUUUAAAGGGUGCGUAGGCGGUUCCAUAAGUCAGUGGUGAAAUACGGCAGCUCAACUGUCGAGGUGCCAUUGAUACUGCGGAACUUGAGUACUGAUGAGGUAGGCGGAAUUGACGGUGUAGCGGUGAAAUGCUUAGAUAUCGUCAAGAACACCGAUAGCGAAGGCAGCUUACCAAGCAGUAACUGACGCUGAGGCACGAAAGUGCGGGGAUCAAACAGGAUUAGAUACCCUGGUAGUCCGCACAGUAAACGAUGAUUACUCGAUGUUGGCGAUACACAGCCAGCGUCUUARMGAAAGCGAUAAGUAAUCCACCUGGGGAGUACGCCCKCUAAGGGUG
rnacentral:rRNA from 1 species